GGAGGAGGUGUCUAGGCUCAGGAGUAUCCAUGCCCUGGAGAAGUAUCUUGAUAGCCCUGCACUUCUCAUC